UAUGGUGAAAAAAUGUUGUUCGUAAUAGUUAAGAUGUUAGUUAAUUUGUUUCUAUGAAAAGAAAGUAACGGAAAGAGAAUGCGCAAUGACAUGUUCUCACAGCACUCGAGAA
rnacentral:lncRNA from 1 species